CAGCUGUAAAUCAGUUGAAAUAGUCUUGGUUAUUGGACCCGCAACCCGCCCGUGCUUGUCACCGUCUGGCCCGCACCCGCAUCACACCCU